rnacentral:lncRNA from 1 species
AUGCCCAGUAAAAGAGUGACAAAAGAGAAGAUAGCUGCUACUAAACUUGAAAAAGCAGAGCCAGUUUCUACACAUAAAAAAGCAGAAUCUGAUGCUGAACCCAAAAUAAUACAAUCUCAAGUGUCAGAAGAAAAGAGAGUUGUUUCUAAACCCUUUGAACCAGAACCUCUUGCUGUGACAAAACCAGGAGAACCCCAAGCACCCAAAGGGAAGAAAGUUGUUGCCAAACCCAGAAAAUCAGAACCUAGCACAGAACUUGAAACAACAGAGCUGCAAGUGACAGAAAAGAAAGUAGCUAUUGCUAAACCUAAAAAAAUGGAGCCUGAUGUGGUACCUAAAGUUAAAGAGCCUGAAGUGCCAGCAGACAAAAUUGCCAAGAAACCAGAACACAUUGAGAUGCUGGAAACCACAGAGACUCAAGUAUCAGUAAAGAAGAUAGCUGUUGCUAAAACUAAAAAAACAGAACCUAUUAUGGUGCCUAAAGAAGAACCUCAAGUGCCAAAACAGAAGAUAACUGCCCCCAAAGCCAGAAAGCCAGAACCUGUUGUGGUGCCUGAAGUGGAAGAAGAGCCAGCUAUUGAUGUACCUUCCAAACCAGAACAUAUUGUGGUGCUUGAAACAGCAGAGCCUCAAGUGUCAGAAAAGAAAGCCAUGGCUAAACAUAAACAACCUGUGCCUAUCAUGGUGCCUAACAUCACUGAGCCUCAGGUGCCCAAACGAAAGAUAGCUGCUACUGAACCAAAAAAGCCAGAACCAGUUGUGAUGCCUGAAUCAAUCGAGCCUGAAGUGGAGGAAGAAGAAGAAAUAACAAUUAUGGAAUCCUUAAAAACAGAACAUAUUGUUAUUCUUGAAACACCAGAACCCAAAAUUCCCAAAAAGAAAGAAGCCAUCAUGAAACCUAAAAUACCAGAGACUUUUGCAGUGCCCAAAGAAGAAGAGCCUCAGGUGCCAAAACAGAAAAAGGUUGCAGCCAAACCCAAGAAAGCAGAACCCAUUCUGGUUCCUCCAAUAACAUUGCCCAAAGAGGAGGAAGAAAUAGUAAUUGCCAAACCUAGGAAACCAGUGCCUUUUCUGGUGCCUGAAUCAAUUGGGGCUGAAGUGGAAGAAGAAGAGUUGGCAACUGUGGAACCCUUUGAAGCAGGACAAAUCGUAAUGCUUGAAACACCAGAACCCCAAAUUACAAAACAGAAAGGUGCCACCAUGAAACCUAAAAAAUCAGAGGUGGUUGCAGUGCCCAAAAAAGAAGAGCCGCAGGUGCCAAAGCAGAAAAUAGUUAUAGGGAAACCCAAGAAAGCAGAGCCUCCAACAACAUUGCCCAAAGAGGAGGAGGAAAUAGUGAUUGCCAAACCUAGGAAACCAGUAGUUUUUCUUGUACCUGAAUCAAUUGGGGCUGAAGUGGAAGAAGAGAUGGCAUCUGUAGAACCCUUUGAAGCAGGACAAAUCGUAAUGCGUGAAACACCAGAACCCAAAGUUCCAGAACAGAAAGUAGCCACUGCAAAACCUAGAAAAGCAGAGGUGGUUGCAGUGCCCAAAGAAGAAGAGCCUCAAGUGCCAAAGCAGAAAAUAGUUCCACCGAAACCCAAGAAAGCAGAGCCUAUUAUGGUGACUCCAACAACAGAGCCCAAAGAGGAGGAGGAAAUAGUGAUUGCCAAACCUAGGCAGCCAGUACCUUUUGUGAUUCCUGAAUCAGUUGGGGCUGAAGUGGAAGAAGAAGAGAUAACAACAGCAGAAUCCUUUGAAGCAGGGCAAAUUGUUAUGCUCGAAAUACCAGAACCUAAAGUUCCAAAAAAGAAAGGAACCAUCAUGAAAACUAAAAAAGCAGAGGUGGUUGCAGUGUCCAAAGAAGAAGAGACUCAAGUACCAAAACAGAAAAUUGUUAUAGCCAAACCAAAGAAACCUGAACUCAUCAUGGUGCCUCCAACAACAGAGCCUAAAGAGGAGGACAAAAUAGUAAUUGCCAAACCCAGGAAACCAAUACCUUUUGUGGUGCCUGAAUCAAUUGGGGCUGAAGUAGAGGAAGAAGAGAUAGCAACUGCAGAACAUUUUGAAAUAGAAGAAAUUGUUAGCCAUGAAAGACUCGAAUACCAACUUCUAGAAAAGAAAGAAACUAUUGCAAAGUCUAAAAGAACAAAGAUGGUUGCAGUGCCCAAAAUGGAAGAGCCUCAGGUGCCAAAACGGCAAAUAGUUGUGGCCAAACCAAAAAAACCAGAACCCAUCAAGGUGGAGGAGGAGGAAGAGGAAGAAGAGGAAGAAGAGGAAGAAGAGGAAGAAGAAGAAGAAGAAGAAGAAGAAGAAGAAGAAGAAGAAGAAGAAGAAGAAGAAGAAGAAAUAAUAGAAAUAGAAAUAGAAAUGGAGGAAGAAGAGGUAGAAACUGCAGCACCUCCAAAAGUCAAACAUACUGCUAUGCUGGAAACUAUAGAGACUCAAGUGUCAAAAAAGAAAGUAGCACUUUCAAAGCCCAAGAAACCAGAAGCCUUGGUACCUAGAAAAGGAAAACCUCAAGUGGAGCCUCGGGUACCUGAAGUGGAGGUGGUUGUUGGUAAACCUGAAAAAGCAGAACCUGAAACUAUAGAAUUCACUCCAUUAAAAGUUCCUGAGGCGCCCAAGAAGGUUGUGCCGGAAAAGAAAGUAACCACUGCAGUGCCUAAGAAACCAGAGCCCACCGCCUACUAA